CCCAGAGUGGUGUAGUGGGCUGAAUGCUGGACUAUGACUCUGGAGACCAGGGUUCGAAACCAGGCUCAGCCA
rnacentral:tRNA from 1 species